rnacentral:rRNA from 1 species
CAGCCGCCGCGGGAAUACGAAGGGUGCAAGCGUUACUCGGAAUUACUGGGCGUAAAGCGUGCGUAGGUGGCGGUUUAAGUCCGUUGUGAAAGCCCUGGGCUCAACCUGGGAAUUGCAGUGGAUACUGGGUCACUAGAGUGUGGUAGAGGAUAGUGGAAUUUCCGGUGUAGCAGUGAAAUGCGUAGAGAUCGGAAGGAACAUCUGUGGCGAAGGCGACUAUCUGGGCCAAUACUGACACUGAGGCACGAAAGCGUGGGGAGCAAACAGGAUUAGAUACCCGCGUAGUCCCUGUCUCUUAUAC